GUUGAUUGGUUAAAUCGACGAUCUCAACGGCGGAGGAAGUGACGAUGAAGGCGCGGCAGAGAGGACAAUUAGAGUGAGAUUUCAACCAAGUAUCAAUACAAGGAACGUGAAACGCGUGGUUGCAUUUAGGUAACAAUCUCAAGCUCUCGUUCUCUUGAAACUCGCUUAAACAAACAGAGCAAUCUGAAGAUUCAACAAAUCCAUCCAUCUUUCUGUAUUUGUAAACAGUUAUCGAUUUAAUCAGAGAUUCAUCGAGUCCAUCGCCACCACCACCACCAAUCGUUUGAUUCGGAUUCGUAGCUCCGUUGUUGUUGUUGUUGUUGGUUCCUUGCCAGGUGUAAUCUGAUGAGAUUCUGUUUAUAGCUGCGGCGGAGGUAGAGGAGGAGUUGUGGCGACGGCGGUGGCAGUAUUUGGAGAUGAGAGUGUAGUAGCUGACGAGGAUGAAGGCGCUAGCGAGGAUUCCGAUGAGAGCGAUGAGG
rnacentral:lncRNA from 1 species